AUUUUAUUUUGAGUAAGUUUAUAUUUUUAAUAUUCAGGUUCAGACACUUAUUAAUGAGAUUUUCUUAUUGUUUUAAAUCUGAAUUUUUGCACCUGUUGAAAUUUGUUUUAUAGGUUCAUGAACCACAUGAAACACCAUUUGGAACUCGAAAAGCAGAGCAGUGAGAGCUGGGAAAACCACACCACCUGCCAGCAUUGCUACCGCCAGUUCCCCACACCCUUUCAGCUGCAGUGCCACAUUGAAACCAUUUGUAAAAUCUGUGAAUUAUCAUUUGAAACAGAACAUGUUCUUUUACAACAUAUGAAGGACAAUCAUAAACCUGGUGAAAUGCCAUAUAUCUGCCAGGUAAAACAUUUUAUUGUGUUAAGUGUUUGAUUUGUUUGUUGUUUUGAUUAUAAGAUUUUAACCCUCUAGACUAAGGUUGGCAAACUGUUUUUCAGUAAUGGUCCAGAUGGUAAAUACAUCACAUUUUAAGGGUUUACUAUGUCUGUUGCAACCAGUGAGGUCUGCUACCACUGUAGCACAGAGGAAGGGAUAGACAGUAAAUUAAAUGAGUGAGUGUGUCUGUUUCCCAGUAAAACUUUAUUUGUGAACACUAAAAUUUUAAUUUCAUAAAAUUUUCAUGUCAUGAAAUAUAUUAUUUUACUUUUUAACCAUUUAGAUGGUGGCUAGAAUUAAAGCCUGUCUUAUAAGUUAAGUGAUUGGUAAUAGGAAGACCCAUGAUAUAACUCAUUUAUUAUAGGAGGUAAUGACAGUAAGCUGGGUUGACCCAGAGGCUGCUGUUUGUUUACCUCUGGGCUAAACAAAGUAGAGCACUCCUGGAGAAAGACAAACAUAUGGAUGUAUCUUACUAUCUAGGGAAGAAUGUAGGAACAUGAUGGACAUAAAAAUUGCUGUUACAAAGAAUCCUAUCAAAUGUUUUGAGAUGAAUAUCUUUUCAGUAUUUGAAGGAAUAGGAAAGCAAGAGAAAGAUGAGUUGCCACUGUUAUGUCCUGGAGGCCAUUUAUAAUCUAAAGGAGAAGCUGUUUUGUGCAUCAGAAACACUUUAUAUGACAGGAGGUGCCAGAAUGAAAAUUCAAGUCAAAAUAGGGGGUGAUAGAUAAAGUAUCUGAUUAAAAAGAAGGGAUCUUGGUUAUAUUUCAGGAAGCAUUCUUUAUCUUUGAAAAAUAACUUUUUUUCUCUUUUGGUGUUUAUCUUAGUGGGAAUUUAGGUUUUAUAGGCAUGGGCUAGAUAAACAGUACAUAGUGUUCUUCUAAACAAAUGAUCCAUUAUUGUUACUUUGUAAUUUCAUAUCUAGGUUUGCAAUUAUAGAUCAUCAUCAUUUUCUGAUGUAGAAGAUUUUAGGACAUCUCAUGAAAACACUAAGAACUUGCUGUGUCCAUUUUGUCUCAAAGUUAUUAAAAUUGCAACACCCUAUAUGCAUCAUUAUAUGAAGCAUCAGGUGAGAUUUACUAAUUCUUAUUUGUUUGUGAUAUCUUAGCAAAAAGAUUGAUUAUAACUCAGAUCAUUGAUUAGAAUUGUCCUGCAAGGGAAGCAGAGUUGUUCCAAGUUACACAAUUAAUUUACAGGUUAUGCAGAAUUACUUGUGAAACUUCCACUUUUCCUUAUUUCCUUUCUGGUGAUAAUGUGACCCAUAAGUAAUGAAAGUUCUGAAAGAAAGCUAGAAAUAGGAAGUCUAGGUUUGAGAGAAAAAACGGUGAGUGGAAUAUACAAAACAUUGGAUAUUUUAUAGUUUAAGAGUACAUAUGAGAAUGAUUUUGAAGGGACUUAUCAAAAGGAAGGGAAAAGGGCUGGGGAUUUAGCUCAGUGGUUGUGCCGCCUGCCUCACAAAUGCAAGGUCCCGAGUUUGAUCCCUGGUACCAAAAAAAAAAAAAGGAAGGGAAAAGAUGAGUUUGAACUGAGAAGAAAUGAUUGAGGACUCUUAAUCUUUUCCUCUUUCUCUUCAAAUUUUAUCUCUACUUUUUAGCCGUCUAUUAAUAUUAUGAGAUUUGUUGUCAUCAUAGACCCAGUUUAUAGCUGUAUAUAUGAACAGUGCCAGAGAACUAAAUUUACAUUAUAACUUGUUUCUUGGAUAGCUUCUGCCAGUUCUGCUAUGGGUAUUAGUGCUUGCAUUCUUUCUUAU
rnacentral:lncRNA from 1 species